AUAGGCAAGGUGUGUAAGUGCAGUAAUGUAUUGAGCUAACUUGUACUAAUUACCCGUGAGGCUUAACCAUACAACACCUAAGAAGUGUU
rnacentral:rRNA from 1 species